CUGUGCGGAGGGACUCGGGGCCGGCCGGCGUGUCUGGCUGGCGGCCGGUGGGAGCGGGCCGGGGCGCCAUGGCCGUGGACAUCACGCCGCUGUUCAAAGCCAGCGUGAAGACGGUGAAGACCCGGAACAAGGCGCUGGGGGUCCCGGCCGGCGAGAGCCCCAGGGAUGAGCUGCUCAAGCGGGGCAGCCAGCGGCCCAAGAGCGACUUCUCCUGCCGGGCCCGCGAGGUGAUUACUAAUAUUGGGAAACUGAAGGAUUUUCUUCUGCAACAUAGAAAGGAUUACAUUAAUGCUUACAGCCAUCUUAUGUCAGAAUACAUUAGGAUGACAGACACAGAACGUGAUCAGAUUGAUCAAGAUGCUCAAAUAUUUAUGAGGACAUGUGCUGAUGCUAUUCAACAGCUGAGAACGGAAGCACACAAGAACGUCCAAUCCCCACAAGUGAGGGAGCACAGAGCAGCUGUCUUGGACUUCACUGAAGAUUAUUUAAAAAGAGUGUGUAAGCUGUACUCUGAACAAAGAGCUGUCCGAGUCAAACGAAUGGUAGAUAAGAAAAGAUUGUCCAGGCUUGAACCUGAACAGAGCAAUAAAGCUCAAGCACCCUUUUUCCCGGAAAAAAAUGUACAGAAUUCUUCAGAAGAAUCUGAAGAAAAACUUGCUUAUGAGGAAAAUAAAGAUCAGAAUCUGACAGAUGCCCACACUAACUUGGGGCUAUGGGGGGAUGGCAAAGGUGAAGAUGAACUGUCACCUGAAGAAAUUCAGAUGUUUGAACAGGAAAACAAGCGACUUGUUGGUGAGAUGAAUAGCCUAUUUGAUGAAGUGAGACAAAUUGAAGGGAAAGUGGUUGAAAUCUCCAGACUUCAAGAGAUAUUCACAGAAAAAGUCUUGCAACAGAAUUUGUCAUUGUCUUUAUGGAACUCUUGCUCAACAGGACACCGAAAUUGACAAUAUUCAUCAGUUAGUUGUGGGUGCAACAGAAAAUAUCAAAGGCGGCAAUGAAGACAUAAGAGAGGCAAUCCAAAAAAAUGCUGGAUUUCGAGUAUGGAUCCUUUUCUUCCUUGUAAUGUGUUCAUUCUCCUUGCUUUUCCUGGACUGGUAUGACAGUUAGGCUUUGUUUUAUUAUGUGUUGUUUGUACAAGAUUUAGACAUUCCUCCUCUCAAAGCAGGAUACGCUAUUUGCAAAUGUCAUACUGUUGUGACUGGAAAAUAUUUUCUAGCAAAAAAAGUGUGUGUACACCACUCUUGCAGUGAAAAGAUCAACACCAUUUAAGUCCUCUCAGCAGCUUCAUAAAACAAAAGAUAGUCUUCCAUGGCUAAAAACUUUGAAUCAGCUAGCAAGUAAAAAGCAGGCUCAAGUUUAGUAAGUUGCAAGAAAUUUUCAAUAAAAUGUAAAUUAUACAUUUAGGAAAUUGUAGCCCACCAAGCCAAUUAGUGGAAAGUUCACAAUGUAGACAGGAUGUACAAUGAAGAAAACUUGCAAUGCAGACAGGGUUGAGCUUUUCUCUCUCUUGUCUCAGAUUUCUUUAGUCACAUCACUCACUACAAAUUGUAAUAACCUUGUACAUCUGUGAAAGCCAUGCCUAAUCCCAUGGAAUUAGUUUGUGCAGGGGUCAUUUGUAUUUGUUGGAAAGUAAUUCUCUUAAACACUGUUAUAAAGCUUUACUUACAUGACACUUCUUAGAACCUAGCAUAUGUUAAAUUAUAGUAAACACAUUGUGAUGCAACUGAUGUAUUGAUGUUGGAACAAAGCUGAAGAAUAGAUAACACAGAAGCCAAACUUUUUGAAGUAUUAAAGUUGUUAACUACCUAAUCCAAAAAAUAAACCCUAGGAGCUUAUGACCCACCUCCUGUUGAAGUCAGGGGGAAAACUCCCAUUGACUUCAAGGGCUGCAGGAUCAAUCACCAAAUGAGUUUUAUGUUUCCAGCUGCCUGAAAUUUUUGAAUGUUUUCUUUUGAGGAUAGUAACUAGUCUCACUGUUCAGCAGAUGGCUGUACAGUGAAGUUGUUUACUGGUCUAAGUUUAAGGGAAAAUAUAUUUAAAUCACAUCUCUGGAGGAUAAUAAUCAAAUCUUAUAAAAUUUGAAUUCAUGUUUUUGGUAAUUUUGAUUUAAAAGUUCAUUUUUACUGUGUCUUGGGAAAUGUAUGUCAACAUACUGUAUGCAACAGGCAAUAUCAUCCUUAUUCUUUAUUUUGCAUGAAGUGAAAAUGUCAAAAGUUACAUGUGAAUUAAUUUACAUUCAAUAAAGUACAUGUCUACUAGCAGACAAAA